rnacentral:miRNA from 1 species
GCUUCCACGGACGAAACCAAGCGGUGUGUAUGCCUUUGUAUUUUCUUGUGGCAUAUGAGCUGUUAAAAUAUUCGUGUAAUUGUUGAUUAUCUUUGUUUAAUAAAACAAUAAAAUACAAAAGAAAAUACAAAGGCAUGCACGCCGCUUGGUUUCGUCCGUGGAAGC